rnacentral:rRNA from 1 species
UACGUAGGGGGCAAGCGUUAUCCGGAUUUACUGGGUGUAAAGGGAGCGUAGACGGCCAGGCAAGUCUGGAGUGAAAGGUACCGGCUCAACCGGUACAGGCUCUGGAAACUGGCGGGCUAGAGAGCAGGAGAGGGCGGUGGAACUCCAUGUGUAGCGGUAAAAUGCGUAGAUAUAUGGAAGAACACCAGUGGCGAAGGCGGCUCUCUGGUCUGUAACUGACGCUGAGGCUCGAAAGCAUGGGUAGCGAACAGG